rnacentral:rRNA from 1 species
CACGUAGGGUCCAAGCGUUGUCCGGAUUUAUUGGACGUAAAGAGCUCGUAGGCGGCUUGGUAAGUCGAGUGUGAAAACUCUGGGCUCAACUCAGAGACGCCACUCGAUACUGCCAUGGCUUGAGUCCGGUAGGGGAGUGUGGAAUUCCCGGUGUAGCGGUGAAAUGCGCAGAUAUCGGGAGGAACACCAGUAGCGAAGGCGGCACUCUGGGCCGGAACUGACGCUGAGGAGCGAAAGCGUGGGGAGCGAACAGG